rnacentral:misc_RNA from 1 species
AGGUCAGCCUCUCAACUGGG